rnacentral:rRNA from 1 species
AGAGUUUGAUCCUGGCUCAGAAUCAACGCUGGCGGCGCGCUUAACACAUGCAAGUCGAACGAGAAAGCAGGGGCAACUCUGUGAGUAAAGUGGCGUACGGGUGAGUAACACGUGGAUGAUCUACCCUUUAGUGGGGAAUAACGCUGGGAAACCGGCGCUAAUACCGCAUAAGCCCGAGAGGGGAAAGCAGCAAUGCGCUGAAGGAGGAGUCCGCGGCCGAUUAGCUAGUUGGGAGGGUAAAAGCCUACCAAGGCGACGAUCGGUAGCCGGCCUGAGAGGGCACACGGCCACACUGGCACUGAGACACGGGCCAGACUCCUACGGGAGGCAGCAGUGGGGAAUCUUGCACAAUGGGGGAAACCCUGAUGCAGCGACGCCGCGUGAGCGAUGAAGCCCUUCGGGGUGUAAAGCUCUUUCGGCAGGGACGAUAAUGACGGUACCUGCAGAAGCAGCUGCGGCUAACUACGUGCCAGCAGCCGCGGUAAUACGUAGGCAGCGAGCGUUGUUCGGAAUUACUGGGCGUAAAGGGUGUGUAGGCGGUUUUCUAAGUUCGGUGUGAAAUCUCCCGGCUCAACUGGGAGGGUGCGCCGAAAACUGGAAGGCUAGAGUGCGGGAUGGGAAAGUGGAAUUCCUGGUGUAGCGGUGAAAUGCGUAGAUAUCAGGAGGAACACCGGUGGUGUAAACGGCUUUCUGGACCGUAACUGACGCUGAGACACGAAAGCGUGGGGAGCAAACAGGAUUAGAUACCCUGGUAGUCCACGCCCUAAACGAUGCAUAUUUGGUGUGGGUCAUUCAGUUGAUCCGUGCCGGAGCUAACGCGUUAAAUAUGCCGCCUGGGGAGUACAGUCGCAAGGCUGAAACUCAAAGGAAUUGACGG